UACGGAGGAUCCAAGCGUUGUCCGGAUUUAUUGGGUUUAAAGGGUGCGUAAGCGGAUCUUUAAGUCAGUGGUGAAAGCCUGCAGCUCAACUGAAGAAUUGCCAUUGAAACUGAAGAUCUUGAAUUAGGUUAAAGUAGGCGGAAUGUAUCAUGUAGCGGUGAAAUGCUUAGAUAUGAUACAGAACACCGAUAGCGAAGGCAGCUUGCUGAACCUAUAUUGACGCUGAGGCACGAAAGCGUGGGGAGCGAACAGG
rnacentral:rRNA from 1 species